GAUUAUGGCUCAGGAUGAACGCUAGCUACAGGCUUAACACAUGCAAGUCGAGGGGCAGCAUUGGAGUAGCAAUACUUCAGAUGGCGACCGGCGCACGGGUGAGUAACACGUAUCCAACCUGCCGCUUACUCGGGGAUAGCCUUUCGAAAGAAAGAUUAAUACCCGAUGGUAUAAAGAGUUCGCAUGUUCUCUUUAUUAAAGAAUUUCGGUAAGCGAUGGGGAUGCGUUCCAUUAGAUAGUUGGCGGGGUAACGGCCCACCAAGUCUACGAUGGAUAGGGGUUCUGAGAGGAAGGUCCCCCACAUUGGAACUGAGACACGGUCCAAACUCCUACGGGAGGCAGCAGUGAGGAAUAUUGGUCAAUGGACGAGAGUCUGAACCAGCCAAAGUAGCGUGAAGGAUGACUGCCCUAUGGGUUGUAAACUUCUUUUAUAAGGGAAUAAAGUGAGGGACGUGUCCCUUUUUGUAUGUACCUUAUGAAUAAGGAUCGGCUAACUCCGUGCCAGCCGCGGC
rnacentral:rRNA from 1 species